rnacentral:rRNA from 1 species
CCAAUAGCGUACAUUAAGGUUGUUGCAGUUAAAAAGCUCGUAGUUGAAUUUCGGGACUAAUAUGUCGGUCGUACUUUGUACGUACUAGCAUUAUUGGUUUCUCCCUUCUGACGAACCACGAUGUCAUUAAUUUGGUGUCGCGGGAAAUCAGGACUGUUACUUUGAAAAAAUUAGAGUGUUUAAAGCAAGCUCGCGCUUGAAUACAUUAGCAUGGAAUAAUGAAAUAGGACGUUUGAUUCUAUUUUGUUGGUUUCUAGGAUCGACGUAAUGAUUAAUAGGGAUAGUUGGGGGCAUUAGUAUUCAAUUGUCAGAGGUGAAAUUCUUGGAUUUAUUGAAGACUAACUACUGCGAAAGCAUUUGCCAAGGAUGUUUUCAUUAAUCAAGAACGAAAGUUAGGGGAUCGAAGACGAUCAGAUACCGUCGUAGUCUUAACCAUAAACUAUGCCGACUAGGGAUCGGAUGAUGUUAAUUUUUUAAUGACUCAUUCGGCGCCUUACG